rnacentral:rRNA from 1 species
AAUCAACGCUGGCGGCGUGCCUAACACAUGCAAGUCGCACGAGAAAGGGGAGCAAUCCCUGAGUAAAGUGGCGCACGGGUGAGUAACACGUGACUAACCUACCCUCGAGUGGGGAAUAACCUAGAGAAAUCUGGGCUAAUACCGCAUAACACUUACGAGUCAAAGCAGCAAUGCGCUUGAGGAGGGGGUCGCGGCAGAUUAGCUAGUUGGCGGGGUAAUGGCCCACCAAGGCAAUGAUCUGUAUCCGGCCUGAGAGGGCGCACGGACACACUGGAACUGAAACACGGUCCAGACUCCUACGGGAGGCAGCAGUGGGGAAUUUUGCGCAAUGGGGGAAACCCUGACGCAGCAACGCCGCGUGGAGGAUGAAAUCCCUUGGGAUGUAAACUCCUUUCGAUAGGGAAGAUAAUGACGGUACCUAUAGAAGAAGCCCCGGCUAACUUCGUGCCAGCCGCCGCGGUAA